rnacentral:rRNA from 1 species
UACGGAGGGGGCUAGCGUUGUUCGGAAUUACUGGGCGUAAAGCGCGCGUAGGCGGAUCUGCAAGUCGGGUGUGAAAACCCCAGGCUCAACCUGGGGACGCCACCCGAUACUGCUAUAGCUAGAGUCCAGUAGGGGAGUGUGGAAUUCCCAGUGUAGCGGUGAAAUGCGCAGAUAUUGGGAGGAACACCAGCGGCGAAGGCGGCACUCUGGGCUGGUACUGACGCUGAGGAGCGAAAGCGUGGGUAGCGAACAGG